rnacentral:lncRNA from 1 species
GAGAUCAGGAAGGUGGCCGAGUGUGUCGCCGCGGCCAUCAGGGGCUAGAGCAAUGUAUCUUAGGCUCACUUAAGGAAGCUGUAGAGAUGAGCCCAAGGAGGGAAACCAGAAGAGCCCCCCAGGCUCACCAGUUGUUUGUUGGCUCCCUACAAACAUGUCAUUCAAGUGGCUAAUCUUACAACAGCACAAAUUCAUCUAACCAGCAGAAAGAGAAGAGGAGGCUCCAAAGGCACUUGACUACUGAGCAUCACCCUGGACGUGUACAAGUCUGCGUCCUUAUUGUUUUCUUCAUUGGGCCGAACUUUCUGGUCCUCAUCCAACAGCUCUUCUAUCACGUGUUCGAAAGUGUCAGCCAAUGAUGUCAAGCCUCUUGAACCUGCCUUGGGCCCAUUCACGCUCUCCAGAGUCCCAUGGGUCCGCACACCUGGAGAUACUCUAUUAUAGCAAA